rnacentral:misc_RNA from 1 species
GCCGGGUGAGAACCACUGGCUAGCAGGUUACCGGAAGUAGAGUGGCACAGGGAGAGGAACAGGGUCGGCUCGAUCGACGGCUAUAAAUCAGGAAGGACAUGCGAAGCUCGCCGCUCUUUCCACCUCUAUCGGGACAAAACUCCUUCCAGGAGCACGGUUCUGCCUUUCGACGGAGUUAUCGAGCGAUGGAUAAAGGAAGAAAACUGAACUCCCGCCAGUGUAUUCUUCGUCUAUGCGACGAACGAACAUUCUGCUUCCUUGAACAUCGAGUUUACGACAAGAAUGCUUAACGCUUCCCGUUGUUCGCGACAUCGUUAUCGUGCAACUCGCCGGCGAGAGCGACAGAGAGCCCCAGUAAUUGCCACGACAGACAUCUCGAUCAUGCGAUACACCUGAGCGAGGGAGAAUUUCCGGAACAUCUUAAGGAUCGUUCAAAGCUCUGCGUAGGCAGCUUACCAUCGCUCGUAUACCAUCGGCACAUAACUGGUAAUUACGCGGGCCAAGCGUCAUUACCGCACCCUGACCCUUCCUCCUUUAUUGCCCCGCGGAAACGACGGAACCGUGGAAAUGCCAUUUGUACGCAGCCACCAGCGGAAAACGAUCGGCGAUCUCGUUCGACCAACCAAGAAACGACCUAUCACCUGGGACGCCUAUUCUUUCCCAACCACCUGCGUCCUCCGUGCUUGAUCCCACCUACCCUGGCACAAUUCCUCUUCUCGAGCAACCAGUAGGGAAAAUAGCACGGCCGAUUCCAUCGAACGUCCCUAUAUAUCGGCAAGCAAAGGGUGGCGAGAAUUCCGCGUAAUGGAGAGGAAAG